AUACGUAGGUGACAAGCGUUAUCCGGAUUUACUGGGCGUAAAGGGCGUGUAGGCGGUCUUGCAAGUCAGAAGUGAAAUUCCUGAGCUCAACUCGGGCGCUGCUUCUGAAACUGCAGGACUUGAGUGCUGGAGGGGAUAGCGGAAUUCCUAGUGGAGCGGUAAAAUGCGCAGACAUAAGGAAGAACACCGGUGGCGAAGGCAGAAAGCGGGGACGCAACUGACGCUGAAGAGCGAAAGCUGGGGGAGCAAUGGGGAUUAGAUCCCCCGGUAGCCCUCGCCGUAAACAAUGGAUACUAGGCGUUAUGCGUAUCGACCCGUGCAGUGCUGUAGCUAACGCGUUAAGUCGCCCGCCUGGGGAGUACGUUCGCAAGAAUGAAACUCAAAGGAUUUGACGGGG
rnacentral:rRNA from 1 species